CUUUACUGCAGCUUUGCAGUGGCAUUAGGAGAGGGCUGUGUAGGAUAGGUGGGAGGCUUUGAAGCAUGGGCGCUAGCCUGUGUGGCGCCAACCUUGAAAUACCACCCUGACCUCUUCUGAUGUCUAACCGCGGUCGGUCAUCCCGAUCCGGGACCCUGCAUGGUGGGCAGUUUGACUGGGGCGGUCGCCUCCCAAACAGUAACGGAGGCGCGCGAUGGUGGGCUCAAGCCGGUCGGACAUCGGCUGUUGAGUGCAAUGGCAUAAGCCCGCCUGACUGCGAGAGUGACAGCUCGAGCAGAGACGAAAGUCGGCCAUAGUGAUCCGGUGGUCCCGCGUGGAAGGGCCAUCGCUCAACGGAUAAAAGUUA
rnacentral:rRNA from 1 species